UACGUAGGGUGCAAGCGUUAAUCGGAAUUACUGGGCGUAAAGCGUGCGCAGGCGGUUAUAUAAGACAGUUGUGAAAUCCCCGGGCUCAACCUGGGAAUUGCAUCUGUGACUGUAUAGCUAGAGUACGGUAGAGGGGGAUGGAAUUCCGCGUGUAGCAGUGAAAUGCGUAGAUAUGCGGAGGAACACCGAUGGCGAAGGCAAUCCCCUGGACCUGUACUGACGCUCAUGCACGAAAGCGUGGGGAGCAAACAGA
rnacentral:rRNA from 1 species